rnacentral:rRNA from 1 species
GACGAACGCUGGCGGCGUGCUUAACACAUGCAAGUCGAACGGAAAGGCCCUGCUUUUGUGGGGUGCUCGAGUGGCGAACGGGUGAGUAACACGUGAGUAACCUGCCCUUGACUUUGGGAUAACUUCAGGAAACUGGGGCUAAUACCGGAUAGGAGCUCCUGCUGCAUGGUGGGGGUUGGAAAGUUUCGGCGGUUGGGGAUGGACUCGCGGCUUAUCAGCUUGUUGGUGGGGUAGUGGCUUACCAAGGCUUUGACGGGUAGCCGGCCUGAGAGGGUGACCGGCCACAUGGGGACUGAGAUACGGCCCAGACUGCUACGGGAGGCAGCAGUGGGGAAUAUUGCACAAUGGGCGGAAGCCUGAUGCAGCAACGCCGCGUGCGGGAUGACGGCCUUCGGGUUGUAAACCGCUUUCGCCUGUGACGAAGCGUGAGUGACGGUAAUGGGUAAAGAAGCACCGGCUAACUACGUG